ACGCUGACCUACAAAGUAAAUGUGACGGUUUAUUAUUUAUAAAUUAAGUGCGACUGAUUAAGUUUUUUCUUCAAAUCAACAAAUGAAUAUGGAUGAUUAGACUUACCUUCAGAGGGAAUGAAUAGGCUACAGAGUAUUCCCGCUAUAAGCAGAAGAGGAAGGAGAGUUCGACUGAUUUUCAUGUUUCUAUUCAGUUUCUAUUCCGUGUGUCUUAAUCGUCGGACAGAAGUGUGGGCAGAUCAUAUAUAUUUAUACGCAAUGCUGCGACACAUUAUUGUAAAAACGCUCAUAGAGGCGCCAUUAAUGGUGGUUUGAAACGACCAAACAACUGACCACAGGGCGAUGUUUGUAAACAAACUAGUGAGGGGUGUGUUCGCACAUUGCGUACAAGUAACGGUCUAUCACGAUUUGACCAAAUGUCUCAAUAAAUAAAAAGUAUAUACCUUU
rnacentral:sRNA from 1 species